AACGAACGCUGGCGGCAGGCUUAACACAUGCAAGUCGAGCGCGUAGCAAUACGAGCGGCAGACGGGUGAGUAACGCGUGGGAAUCUACCGAGCCCUAAGGAAUAGCUCCGGGAAACUGGAAUUAAUACCUUAUACGCCCUUUGGGGGCAAGAUUUAUCGUGGUUUGAUGAGCCCGCGUUGGAUUAGCUAGUUGGUGGGGUAAAGUCUCACCAAGCCUACGAUCCAGAGCUGGUCUGAGAGGGUGACCAGCCACACUGGGACUGAGACACGGCCCAGACUCCUACGGGAGGGAGCAGUAGGGAAGCUUGCGCAAUGGGCGAAAGCCUGACGCAGCCAUGCCGCGUGUAUGAUGAAGGUCUUAGGAUUGUAAAAUACUUUCACCGGGGAAGAUAAUGACGGUACCCGGAGAAGAAGCCCCGGCUAACUUCGUGCCAGCCGCCGCCGUAACAC
rnacentral:rRNA from 1 species